GAAAAGGAAUGAAGAGUGGGAGAAAGGUGCAUUGUGGAGCUGUCUGAGCGUUGGAGUAUGUCCCAAUAACGAAGAGACUGCGGAGAAGCAUCCCCUGUCCCCCUCCGUGUUCUAAAUGUAUGAAACCUAACAAGGGAGGAGAGACCACAAAGCCAGCAGCAAACAGUAAACUUUUCCAAGAAUCAGAGAGGAAGGAGUUCCUGAC
rnacentral:lncRNA from 1 species